rnacentral:rRNA from 1 species
UUACGGUCAAAUCACGCUGAAAACACCGGUUCUCGUUCGAUCACCGAAGUUAAGCAUCGUAGAGCCAGGUCAGUACUUAGAUGGGGACCGCUUGGGGAACACCUGGUACUGUAAG